AAAAAGUGUUCCGACACACAAGCAGACUUCAAUAACUAUGGACCGUCAGCACAUAAACUGUCAAAGCAGCUACAACAUAACUUCUGGAUGUGUAAAAUACUAUGGACCGUCAGCACAUAAACUGUCAAAGCAGCUACAACAUAACUUCUGGAUGUGUAAAUAUAGUCAACAAAAGUAUAAGACAGAGAUCAAGCAGAAAAUCACACCAGUCAAAUUGCAGAAUUAUGGAGCCCCGUCUCAGUGAAUACAUCUAUAAAACACUCAUUCACCUAAAGCACAGGGAACACUGGAGAGCCAGGAUAGCAAGACGGCUGCCUGAUCAGCUAACCAACCAAGUUGCCUAGAAGAAGGUGACCCACACAGAUUCCUGGGAAGCACCCUGUGAUCUGCUGAGCAGCCUUCAAGUCAUAAAGGGACCUGAGAGCUCCAGCUUCCGGGAACCAUCAACCAUGCUGCAGUGAGCUUUCGGCCAUUUGUCUUCCUUUCAAUUAUCCCUGCUUCUGUAAGUUACCACGUCUAUAUUCCUGUAACUCUACUCAGCUGGAUUUGUGACAUUAUUAGUUUGGUGUUAGAAGACUUCCAUUCACGUGUCUCCAGGAAUA